UGCCACAGCCAUGUCACCCUGCAGCCCAAGACCGGUUACUCACUGAAGCUAAGCAGGGCUGAGCCUGGUCAGUACCUGGAUGGGAGACCACUAGGGAACACUAGAGCUGCUUUUC
rnacentral:rRNA from 1 species